rnacentral:lncRNA from 1 species
UUGAGGACCUGCUUCAGGCCAGCCGUUGUGCUGGCCUGUACAUAUAUGAUUUCAUCAAAUUCCCCAAAAUCUGUGAAGUAGCUGUGAGUCUUCUCUGAUAGAUGAGGAAACCUUGCCUAAAUUCUACAGCUAACAGUGGCAGAGGCCAGAUUUAACCCAACAACUUCUCACUCCUGCACCCUGGCUCAUUCCACCUACAGCGGCCAACUUCCAGGCUGAGGCUAGGAGCCCUCUUUCUGCACAAACGUUAUCAGGAAUAGAUGGUCCAACACUGGGAUCCUGGAAAAGCACUUUUUUCCUUCCCUGAUUCAUCCCUCACUAAUAUGUGAGGCCAAGGACAUGAUACACUGCAAUCAAUUCCUUCAAGUAAAGUCACCAACCCAGCUCUUCAGAGACAAGGAAACAGACUAUGAAGAAUUACUGAGGCUCAAGGAGACAAUCUUACAAAUGCCACGGCUAAACUCCAGGUCUCCUAACUCCAAAUCCAGAAUUUGAAUUAUUAAUAAAACUUUAUUCUGAAAGUGUUCAAUAAGCACAUGUAAUAUUUUGAAAGGUUUCUGUUUUUUUUUAAGUAGCUCAAUUUAUUUUUUAUAUUU